rnacentral:rRNA from 1 species
GCCCGCACAAGCGGUGGAGCAUGUGGUUUAAUUCGAUGCAACGCGAAGAACCUUACCUACUCUUGACAUCCAGAGAACUUAGCAGAGAUGCUUUGGUGCCUUCGGGAACUCUGAGACAGGUGCUGCAUGGCUGUCGUCAGCUCGUGUUGUGAAAUGUUGGGUUAAGUCCCGCAACGAGCGCAACCCUUAUCCUUUGUUGCCAGCGAUUCGGUCGGGAACUCAAAGGAGACUGCCGGUGAUAAACCGGAGGAAGGUGGGGAUGACGUCAAGUCAUCAUGGCCCUUACGAGUAGGGCUACACACGUGCUACAAUGGCGUAUACAAAGAGAAGUGACCUCGCGAGAGCAAGCGGAACUCAUAAAGUACGUCGUAGUCCGGAUUGGAGUCUGCAACUCGACUCCAUGAAGUCGGAAUCGCUAGUAAUCGUAGAUCAGAAUGCUACGGUGAAUACGUUCCCGGGCCUUGUACACACCGCCCGUCACACCAUGGGAGUGGGUUGCAAAAGAAGUAGGUAGCUUAACCUUCGGGAGGGCGCUUACCACUUUGUGAUUCAUGA